rnacentral:rRNA from 1 species
GACGAACGCUGGCGGCGUGCUUAACACAUGCAAGUCGAACGGAAAGGCCCCUUUGGGGGUACCCGAGUGGCGUACGGGGGGGUAACAUGCGAGUAACCUGCCCUUGACUUCGGGAUAACUUCAGGAAACUGGGGCUAAUUCCGGAGAGGAAUCCUUGCUGCCUGGUGGGGGUUGGAAAGCUUCGGCGGUUUUGGAUGGACUUGCGGCGUAUCCGCUUGUUGGUGGGGUAGUGGCUUACCAAGGCUUUGAAGGGUAGCCGGCCAGAGGGGGCGACCGGCCACAUUGGGACUGAGGGACGGCCCAGACGCCUACGGGAGGCAGCAGUGGGGAAGAUUGGACAAUGGGCGGAAGCCUGAUGCAGCAACGCCGCGUGCGGGAUGGCGGGCUUCGGGUUGUAGACCGGUAUCGGCAGGGGAGAAGCUUGUGGUGACGGUACCUGCAGAAGAAGCACCGGCUAACUACGUG